rnacentral:lncRNA from 1 species
UUGAAUCUGGCUUCUCUCAUACGCUAUACUCUCUCUCUCAUUCUCUCAUAACCCUAAUUCAACUUGGCUUCUAUGUUACGCUUUCUCUCAACUCUCUCUCUCUCAUUCUCACAAAAGUCUCCAAACGAUUGCUGCGAAACCCUAACCGGCGAUUCGUAUAGUCAUCAACCCUAAUCGGCGAUUCCUCUAAGCAUGGAGUGGUUGUGUCUAGCGGCGGUGGUUGUGUCUAGCGGCGGCAGUGGUGGUCUAAUGUUGAUGGUGGAGGAGUUGCGGCGGCGGUGGUUUUGUGAUGUUGAAGGAAGAUGCAAAUGGUGGAGAAGUUUAUCCAAUUCUUCAGGUUGGGAGAUGAGUUCAGGUCAUAUGCAUAAAGAGAGAGAUGUGAGAUCAGGGAGAUCUCUAUAGCCCGCUGACCGGUGUAAGGCUACUCAAGACAAGUGUGAGAAAGUUGUGCAGGAUGCUCUAUCAGAUGAAGAUGAUUCAUGUGAUGUGCACAUUUUAAAAGCAACAUUUAGAUGUGGUUUUAUGGGUAUUGUUUAAAAGAAAUCUCUAUUUUUUUUGUUACAAACAGUAGCAUCUAAGGCACAGAACUUGACACCACUAGGAUUUAGUUGUGAGUGUUGUAUAUAUAUAUAUAUAUAUAUAUAUAUAUAUAUAUAUAUAUAUAUAUAUAUAUAUAUAUAUAUAUUGCAGGGUCAUGAUAGGAAUAGCAAAACAGGGUAUUCAGUCCUCCUACUGACCUUAUUUUUCUUGGAGGUUUACCUCACUGGUUUUGUACCUUAUACUGUAAAGUUUCUCAAUUUUAUACUUCUUUGUGGAUGUAUGCGUAUUACUGCUUUGAGUAUGUGUCGAUUACAUGGCUACCGUUUGUUUAAAUUUAGAGGUGGCGUAAUGGUGGGUCUGGUAAUGGGUGAAACUGUUUGUGGGUUGGGUUGAUCUGGAAGGACCGGAACACUAUUUGUUUUUGUUCAAAUUUGUUGUAAUUUUUUUAUAAAGAGUUCGUGUGACAAAAAAGAUUACAAAAAUUAUCUUAUUCUAAUAAUAACUAACUUUGACCUGUUUUCUUUUAAACUAGCCUUUUAUAAAUCCUUUUGAAUCGAUUAAAACAUAACAUGAAUUGACCCGUUCAGAGGUAAAUAGAUUGAAAUUGCCACCUCUACCGUACUAAUUAUACCUUACCACAUAUCAUCUCAUUGUAGCUUUUCAAUUUCAUAGGUACAAAUGGAACUUCUCUGGCCUGAGUUUGGAUAAAAGGCUUGACUUUUUUGAGUCAAACUGGGCGUUUUUCGCUGGUUUCGAUCUCCUUGUGUUCUGGCCAGUUUCUUUUUUUUCUCCUUUAGUGAGUUAUGGAGUAAUGGCAGUACUCUUUCCAAUGUGUAGUUGAUGCACAUAAAACAAAAUGGAGAGGUGAAGAAUUGAGAAAGCUUCCUAUAUUUUACGCUGCAUAUAAGUUACGGCACUUUAAAGGAGACGUUUAUCGAUUCCCAACUUUGGUUAGACUUCGACUGUGAAUCUGAUUUGAUGAGUGUUAAUGGAGGUUUAAAAGAACGGAAACAAGUUUUAAGGCGUUUUCCCUUCGUCUCAUGAGGCGUAACCUCGAGGUGAACCGAGGCGGAUUACUCUCUUCGCCUCACGAAGCGUCAUUAUUUUGGUUUAACUUUUCUAUGGUUUAGCUUUCUGGAAUCUGAAUAAGGUUGGUUGAGUCUGACAAAAAAAGAAGGAUAUUGGCUAUAGUCAUUUGCCACAUGAUUAAGGAGGAGCCGGUUGACCAUCUCUUCGUGUCUUGCCACUUCGCCUCAAGGUGUUUGGGAUUGGGUUGCAAGCUGGUGCUAUCUAACUGGGCUGUAUAUGUUUGAAAGCAAAGAUUUGGUCGGAUAUCAUUGCCAUGCGAGUGGGUCGACAAAAUGAAAAAAAUGGUGUACACUAUAAUGCAGACUGGAAUGUGGAUUAUAUGGCGUUAUCGAAACAACUUAGCAUUCAACCAGAAGUUUUAUGGUUUGAGAAAUGUGUCGAAAUAGGUAUUGGCUUUUUAAAAUAGUUUACACUGUAAUGCAUUAGUUCUUACGUAAUAAAAAAUUGAUAAAUAUGAUAUGAGUGUGUUGGUGGUCUGUAUCUUUGGCGUAUGUUUGGUUAAAAGAUUUUUCUGCAUUUGGGGUCUAUUGUUUCCUUAGCUGCUGGCUAAGGGACUUCUUUUGGUUUCUUUAUA